AGUGAGCGCUGGCGGUAGGCCUAACACAUGCAAGUCGAACGGCAGCACAGGAGAGCUUGCUCUCUGGGUGGCGAGUGGCGGACGGGUGAGGAAUACAUCGGAAUCUACUCUGUCGUGGGGGAUAACGUAGGGAAACUUACACUAAUACCGCAUACGACCUACGGGUGAAAGCAGGGGAUCUUCGGACCUUGCGCGAUUGAAUGAGCCGAUGUCGGAUUAGCUAGUUGGCGGGGUAAAGGCCCACCAAGGCGACGAUCCGUAGCUGGUCUGAGAGGAUGAUCAGCCACACUGGAACUGAGACACGGUCCAGACUCCUACGGGAGGCAGCAGUGGGGAAUAUUGGACAAUGGGCGCAAGCCUGAUCCAGCCAUACCGCGUGGGUGAAGAAGGCCUUCGGGUUGUAAAGCCCUUUUGUUGGGAAAGAAAUCCAGCUGGCUAAUACCCGGUUGGGAUGACGGUACCCAAAGAAUAAGCACCGGCUAACUUCGUGCCAGCCGCCGCCGUAA
rnacentral:rRNA from 1 species